UACGUAGGGUGCGAGCGUUAAUCGGAAUUACUGGGCGUAAAGGGCGCGUAGGCGGGAUGGCAAGUCGGUCGUGAAAUCCCUCGGCUCAACCGAGGAACGUCGAUCGAUACUGCUGUUCUUGAGGAUUGCAGAGGAGACUGGAAUUCCCGGUGUAGCGGUGAAAUGUGUAGAGAUCGGGAGGAACACCGGUGGCGAAGGCGGGUCUCUGGGCCGAUACUGACGCUGAGGAGCGAAAGCGUGGGGAGCGAACAGG
rnacentral:rRNA from 1 species